rnacentral:piRNA from 1 species
CACCGUAAUUGUAACUGAGGCAUAC